GACGAACCGAGCGAACGUUGUUCGGAAUCACUGGGCUUAAAGGGCGCGUAGGCGGGCUGCAAAGUCCGGGGUGAAAGCCCCCCGCUCAACGGGGGAACGGCCUCGGAUACUGGCGGUCUGGAGGCGGGUAGGGGCAGGCGGAACUGUGGGUGGAGCGGUGAAAUGCGUUGAGAUCCACAGGAACUCCGGUGGCGAAGGCGGCCUGCUGGACCGCAACUGACGCUGAGGCGCGAAAGCCAGGGGAGCGAACGGG
rnacentral:rRNA from 1 species